CGACCGGCGCACGGGUGAGUAACACGUAUGCAACCUGGCCGUGACAGAUGGAUAACCGGGAGAAAUCCCGCCUAAUACAACAUAAUGCCGGGAGGGGACAUCCCCUGCCGGUCAAAGGGGGCGACCCCGGUCAUGGAUGGGCAUGCGGCGCAUUAGGUAGUUGGUGGGGCAACGGCCCACCAAGCCGACGAUGCGCAGGGGUUCUGAGAGGAAGGUCCCCCACAUUGGAACUGAGACACGGUCCAAACUCCUACGGGAGGCAGCAG
rnacentral:rRNA from 1 species